GCAGGGGAUCGCAAGACCUUGCACUUUUGGAGCGGCCGAUGUCUGAUCAGCUAGUUGGUGGGGUAAUGGCCUACCAAAGCUUCGAUCAGUAGCUGGUCUGAGAGGACGGCCAGCCACACUGGGACUGAGACACGGCCCAGACUCCUACGGGAGGCAGCAGUGGGGAAUUUUGGACAAUGGGCGCAAGCCUGAUCCAGCCAUGCCGCGUGAGUGAAGAAGGCCUUCGGGUUGUAAAGCUCUUUCAGCCGGGAAGAAAAGGUUGCGAUUAAUAAUCGCAAUUUAUGACGGUACCGGAAGAAGAAGCACCGGCUAACUACGUGCCAGCAGCCGAUAAUACGUAGGGUGCGAGCGUUAAUCGGAAUUACUGGGCGUAAAGGGUGCGCAGGCGGUUUUGUAAGUCAGAUGUGAAAUCCCCGGGCUUAACCUGGGAACUGCGUUUGAAACUACAAGACUAGAGUGUAGCAGAGGGGGGUGGAAUUCCAUGUGUAGCAGUGAAAUGCGUAGAGAUAUGGAAGAACACCGAUGGCGAAGGCAGCCCCCUGGGUUAACACUGACGCUCAGGCACGAAAGCGUGGGGAGCAAACAGGAUUAGAUACCCUGGUAGUCCACGCCCUAAACGAUGUCAACUAGUUGUCGGGUCUUAAUAGACUUGGUAACGUAGCUAACGCGUGAAGUUGACCGCCUGGGGAGUACGGUCGCAAGAUUAAAACUCAAAGGAAUUGACGGGGACCCGCACAGGCGGUGGAUUAUGUGGAUUAAUUCGAUGCAACGCGAAAAACCUUACCUACCCUUGACAUGUACCGAAGCUUACUGAGAGGUAAGUGUGCCCGAAAGGGAACGGUAACACAGGUGCUGCAUGGCUGUCGUCAGCUCGUGUCGUGGGAUGUUGGGUUAAGUCCCGCAACGAGCGCAACCCUUGUCAUUAAUUGCCAUCAUUUAGUUGGGCACUUUAAUGAGACUGCCGGUGACAAACCGGAGGAAGGUGGGGAUGACGUCAAGUCCUCAUGGCCCUUAUGGGUAGGGCUUCACACGUAAUACAAUGGCGCGUACAGAGGGUUGCCAACCCGCGAGGGGGAGCUAAUCUCAGAAAGCGCGUCGUAGUCCGGAUCGGAGUCUGCAACUCGGCUCCGUGAAGUCGGAAUCGCUAGUAAUCGCGGAUCAGCAUGUCGCGGUGAAUACGUUCCCGGGUCUUGUACACACCGCCCGUCACACCAUGGGAGUGGGUUUCACCAGGAGCAGGUAGUCUAACCGUAAGGAGGGCGCUUGCCACGGUGAGAUUCAUGACUGGGGUGAAGUCGUAACAAGGUA
rnacentral:rRNA from 1 species